rnacentral:pre_miRNA from 1 species
GUUGGGGGGAAUGAAGCCUGGUCCGAGAUCAUUCGCAGGAUCUCUGAAUAUCAUCGAAUGGUCUCGAACCAGACAACAUUCCCCUCAAC